rnacentral:rRNA from 1 species
CACCGCGGUUAUACGAGAGGCCCAAGUUGAUAGUCUCGGCGUAAAGGGUGGUUAUGGACAUUCGCCAAACUAGAGCUGAAGACCCCCUGGGCUGUUAUACGCAUCUGGGGGCUCGAAUCACUUAUACGAAAGUAGCUCUAACCUCUUCCACCAGAACCCACGACAGCUGGGAUA